UACGGCUGUCAGAGUUGAGUGUUCAGGCGCACAUGUUGUACACUGCAUAACUCUACAGAGUGCUAUUGUCCAGUACUCCAGCGUGGAUGACAAUUCCUGGAGCUGGGCAAUGCACAACAUGUUCAUCUGCAUAACUCAGACUGUUUCUAAUCUAUCUGAUGUGAAGAUAGUCGCUAGUGUCUCACCUCCUGGGUGUAUGUAAAAUGGAAGGGGUACAGCAUCAAACAGGAAUACCAAACAGAACACACCUGGUCUUUGGAGCUUGUCUGUAACUGGUGUUUUGCUGGGAGUGUUAACAAGCACUCAUGGGCACUCCUGGUCAUUCACUUCAUAAAUCUGUAUUAAACACUCAUGGGGAACAGGGCAGGACACAGUGGAGAGCAGGGUUUCUGUCGAGCCCAGCACAGUUCGAGGACACAGAUAAGACAAGCCAGUGUCAGAGGGCGUUACACACCACGAGGACCGUGACAGAGAGCUGGGCAGGUGGGGAGAGUGGACGUUGCCCUGGUGAUGAGGGAAGGCAUCUCUGGGGAGUAACAUCGGAGUUGUCACUGAAUGACAAGAAAGAGCCAGCCAAGUGGACGUGGGGGCUGUGUCCUCCUAGGUCUCCUCACCUGAGGCUGGUGGGGGAGGGUGAAGCCACCGCAUGUUCUUGACUUCUCUUUGUCACUUGCUGUCCUAUCUCAGCAUGCCUCUCUACGUCCCUUCACCUGAGAAGAAAGUCCCCCAUGGCUUUCCUUCUGGAGAAUAAAGGUGACAGCUGGUGACUCCUCUUUCAGACCUGAGCUCUUCCUCUGCCCUUCCCACUACAGACCCGAGGAUGGAGGAGUCACAAAAUUCUCUUCCCAAGGGAUGUUUAGGCUGCUUCCUGCUGCAGGGUUUGGAGGAAGGCACUCAGUCCCCCUGCAUCUCAGUCUCCUCAUUCCUGCUAAGAGGAAGAGCAAUGGCCUCAGCCCCUAGAGCACCUGCAAGGACUUGUGAAUAUCUACAGUCAGCGUGCACAACCUGGUGGCAUUAAGUCCAGUCACGUUGUCCUACAACUGUUGCCAUCAUCCACGUGCAGAUUUUCCAUCUCGCGACCCUGAAACUCUGUCUCCACUCAGUACGAAGCUGCUUCCUGCCUUCCCAGCCCCUGGCAACCCACAUUGUGCAUUCUGUCUCUGUGAAUUUGACGGGACCUAGGUGCUUCACGGACGUGGAAUCAGACCGUACUCGUCUUUGUGUGACAGGUGUUGGAAUUCCCUUCCCUUAUUAGGCCUAAUCCCGUUCUCCCAGAUGCAUCUCACCUGCAUCUUGCUCACCCACUGGUUGCUCCCACCGCCGGGCUUGGGGAACCACAGUGCCCUGAAUAAGGGUACUCAGGUGUCCGAGGACUCUGCUUCUUGUCUUGUGUUUGUAUCCGGAAGCGGGCUUGCUGGCUCACCAGGUAAUUCUAUGUUUAAGUUUGUGAGAAACUUGCACCCAUUUUCCACAGUGCCUGUACCACUUGACCUGUUGGGCUUUUUUUUUUAAAUCCAAGGCUAUGUCACAAAUUUCAGGUCCCUAAGUCCCCUAGUUUCCUUUUUUCUUCUUUACAGUGGCUUAGGGUUGUCACAACGUUCCCAUUACCUGUUGCCACACUGACGGUGAGGUGGUGCUGUCGUCCUCCUCAUGUAGAAGAGACAUCUAGCCGCUGUUCUCACCAGCCCUGCCAUUCACUUUCCUGGUUACCACCCCACAGUAUCCCCCCGGGGAGCCCCUCUAUCCCCACUCCCAGGACACACUGAUCCAGUGGGGGCAACCUUGGGCUUUGGCUCCAGAGAGGAAAGGCAGAUAUCCCUUCCCCCUGGACAUGGUGACUGCUUCUGUGGGAGACCCAUGACCCAAACGUAGCCAAUCCCAAGCCUCUGAGCACCUGCUGGAAAUUUGCUAAGUGUUUGGGGAAGUGGAGUUUGCCUUCAACUGGAACUGUGAACCUUCAACUGUGGGUGGCCCUUUUUGCUACCUUGUAGGAUGAAGCCAACUUGGAAGCAAGCAAAAAGAGAUAGACUCUAAAUAAUAUCCCUGGAACAACUGGAUCUAAAUGUACCUGAAGCUAUUAGAUCUGCUCCUUGAUUGUUUAAGUACAAGAGCCACUAAAUCUCUCUCUUAGCUUAAAUAAUUGAGUCAAAGUUCUCCCUCUCAUACCUGAAGAGAUUCCCGACUAAUUCAGAAGGCGUAAGAAACUUGCCAAAGAUCAGCCAGAAAACAGUGGUGCCAAGUCUAUACCCCUACAGGAGUCCUGACUUAGAUCUGGAUCCCAGCUUGGGAUUAGCACUAACCGCUGUUCCUCUCUCUCUCUCUCAGAACUCUGGGGUGGGCACCCUGGGACAGGAGGUGGGUCCUGCUUGAGGCACUGCAGGAGACAGCAGUCACGGAGCGCAGUGUCUGAGACCUGAACCCGUGCCAGAGCUGGCAAAUUAUGGCUCAAGGGCAUUUUGCCCACCUCCCGCUUUUGUACAGGCUGCUAGCUGAGAGUAGACUGCUUUUCACAUUUCUAAAUGGUUGAAAGAAAUCAAGAGAAUAUUUUGUGGCAUGCAAAAAUUUGUAUGAAAUUAAAAUUUCACCAUCCAUAAAGAAUGUUUUCUUGGAA